rnacentral:lncRNA from 1 species
GGAAGGUUGAGGGGGCAGGGGGUUACAUCACGGCAAGAUUAUAACACUGAUUUACAACACUAAAUUAAGCCAUUUCAUGAAAAGAACUUGACGAUCCUCUCUAAACCGAAUAGCUUGGAGAGUAGCUUGUUCUCAGAACUUCAUAGCCCCAACAUUAAAGCUUGGACUCACAACAUCAAAGAUAACAGCAUUGCGCAAUUUUCAGAUUUAGCACGCGGCAAGGACGAAGAUUUCCAUGAAGAAUUGCAGUCCGGCAGCCUCAUUAGCUUUCACAGCAUGGUUAUGCAGAUAUCUAUAAAAAAUUAAUAAAACAGAGAAAAGCUUUUCAAGUGACACAUGCUUUCUUUUAGCAGGCAACAGGCAUGUAAGAAACUGUCGAUGGAGAUUGUCUCUUUCUUCUUAAAUAUCAAUUCACAAUUGUAUUUCUCUUAAUUGUAGUACAUAUAGAAUAACAGAUCGAGUCAAUCUAUCUUAUCUGUUUGCAU